AAAAAAAAAACCUUUUAUCAAUUCAAAAUGAACAAUUAAAUUACACCUUCAAGAACCCUUCAAGGCAUGUUCCAGCAUGGCCACGGUCAAAUGACUGAAACAAGUGAAAGAUCUAAUUGUACACACAGGAAUACAGACACAAAUGGUAGUAGUGGUAAUACAGCACCUGACUACGUCCAUUAGUAAAGUGGCUGGAGAGAAAAAAUAUCCGAGGGAAGUGUUCUACAGACUAAAUACAAAUAUGAUAGGUUCUAGGUUUUCUCACAUAGAGGAAAAAAAAAAAACUUUGGGAUUAUCCAUACAAUUUGUAGACAAAAACUCCCUUAAAAUCUAAAAGAAAAUACACAAAAACAAGAUAUCUGCAAUAAGCUCAAUUAUGUGUCGGUGUCACAUAAAAAGCACCCAGUGCACUCUAUAAAGUGGUUUGGUGUUAGGAUGGACAUCUCGGCCAUAAAAGCCAAGCCAAAACAUAUGACUGGAACCUGGUACAUUUCUCCAGCUUGCCAGCUCCAGUUAAACCGUCUGACCCAUGCCAGCAUGGGAAAUAGACGUUAAAUGUUGAUGAAGGGGGUCUCAAACUAAAUGAUUUUACACUGGUGGGAGUAGGGCAAACUAAAGGUCAAACAAAACAAUAAUCAUGGCUUGACCGAAAAA